rnacentral:rRNA from 1 species
GGGGAAUAUUGCACAAUGGGCGCAAGCCUGAUGCAGCGACGCCGCGUGAGGGAUGGAGGCCUUCGGGUUGUAAACCUCUUUUAUCGGGGAGCAAGCGAGAGUGAGUUUACCCGUUGAAUAAGCACCGGCUAACUACGUGCCAGCAGCCGCGGUAAUACGUAGGGUGCAAGCGUUAUCCGGAAUUAUUGGGCGUAAAGGGCUCGUAGGCGGCUCGUCGCGUCCGGUGUGAAAGUCCAUCGCUUAACGGUGGAUCCGCGCCGGGUACGGGCGGGCUUGAGUGCGGUAGGGGAGACUGGAAUUCCCGGUGUAACGGUGGAAUGUGUAGAUAUCGGGAAGAACACCAAUGGCGAAGGCAGGUCUCUGGGCCGUUACUGACGCUGAGGAGCGAAAGCGUGGGGAGCGAACAGGAUUAGAUACCCUGGUAGUCCACGCCGUAAACGGUGGAUGCUGGAUGUGGGGCCCGUUCCACGGGUUCCGUGUCGGAGCUAACGCGUUAAGCAUCCCGCCUGGGGAGUACGGCCGCAAGGCUAAAACUCAAAGAAAUUGACGGGGGCCCGCACAAGCGGCGGAGCAUGCGGAUUAAUUCGAUGCAACGCGAAGAACCUUACCUGGGCUUGACAUGUUCCCGACGGUCGUAGAGAUACGGCUUCCCUUCGGGGCGGGUUCACAGGUGGUGCAUGGUCGUCGUCAGCUCGUGUCGUGAGAUGUUGGGUUAAGUCCCGCAACGAGCGCAACCCUCGCCCCGUGUUGCCAGCGGAUUAUGCCGGGAACUCACGGGGGACCGCCGGGGUUAACUCGGAGGAAGGUGGGGAUGACGUCAGAUCAUCAUGCCCCUUACGUCCAGGGCUUCACGCAUGCUACAAUGGCCGGUACAACGGGAUGCGACGCGGCGACGCGGAGCGGAUCCCUAAAAGCAGUCUUAGUUCGGAUUGUAGGCUGCAACCCGCCUACAUGAAGUCGGAAUUGCUAGUAAUCGCAGAUCAGCAUGCUGCGGUGAAUACGUUCCCG